UACGUAGGGGGCAAGCGUUGUCCGGAAUCAUUGGGCGUAAAGAGCGCGUAGGCGGCCCUGUAAGUCCGCUGUGAAAGUCAAGGGCUCAACCCUUGAAUGCCGGUGGAUACUGCAGGGCUAGAGUCCGGAAGAGGCGAGUGGAAUUCCUGGUGUAGCGGUGAAAUGCGCAGAUAUCAGGAGGAACACCAGUGGCGAAGGCGGUGCUCUGGGCCGGAACUGACGCUGAGGAGCGAAAGCGUGGGGAGCAAACAGG
rnacentral:rRNA from 1 species